GCAGCUUUUCCAUUGAUAUUAUUCUCGUGCUCUUCUCCUUCUCUUCUAACAGACUCUCUUCUCUUCUCUUCUUUUGAAUCUCCUUCUAAAUUCUUUUCUCAUAUAAAUCUGCAGGUCCUUAUGGCUAUGGCGAGUUCUUCAGUUAGUUUCCGUUAAAUGUAGUUUUAGUUUUCAUGUAUUAAUGUACUUGUCUAUAAUUUUCAUAUUAUAAAUCAUAAAAUCUCAAAGACUAUCGUGCUCGAUUUUUUUUUCCAUUUGAAUUUUCAUAUCUCAAUCGAGAUCAUAACAAUUGGUAUCAAAGCAACGAACCUAUCUUGACUGUGGGUAGUAAUUGGAUGAAGAUGUUCAAGGAAUCAAAAAAGAGGUCGGCGGUGUCAUAUAACACUUUGGCUAUGAAAGGAGUGACUGGAAUAGAAUGUUAAGCAAUUGCAGAAGUGCGAGGAUUGCCUAUGCAACAUUAACUAUGAUUGUGACUCCUGCCUCUAUGAUUGCAUAUGCAAUAUUGACUGUUCAUUGUUACUUUUGUCUUGAUGAGGUGAUGGAGAAGAGCAAUGCACUCAACGACUCUAUCAAAAUCAAGGCAGAGAAGCGAACUAUGGAAGUUGUUUCAAUUGCACCUCUACAAAUUUAAAAAAAUGGCAGAGAUCAAGUUUAUCAUGACAACUGUGAAUGUUGAAAUAGCAGGUCCUUAUGGCUACGGCGAGUUCUUCAGUUAGUUUCCGUUAAAUGUAGUUUUAAUUUUCAUGUAUUAAAUAUCCUUGUCUCUGAUUUUCCAGUGAUAAAUUCGAAAAUCUCAAACACUAUUGUGUUUGAUUUUUUUCCAUUUGAAUUUUCAUAUCUCAAUCGAGAUCAUAACAAUUCGUAUCAAAGCAACGAACCUAUCCAACUGCGGGUAGUAAUUCUAUGAAGAUGUUUGAGUAGAGGUCGACAGUGUCAUAUAACAGUUCGGCUACAAAAGGAGUCACUGGAAUAGAAUGUUAAGCAAUUGCAAAAGUGUUAGGAUUGCAUAUGCAACAUUGACUAUGAUUGUAACUCCUGCCUUUAUGAUUGCAUACGCACAUUGAUUGUCA